rnacentral:rRNA from 1 species
UGGGGAAUUUUGGACAAUGGGCGAAAGCCUGAUCCAGCAAUGCCGCGUGUGUGAAGAAGGCCUUCGGGUUGUAAAGCACUUUUGUCCGGAAAGAAAUGGCUCUGUUUAAUACCUGGGGUCGAUGACGGUACCGGAAGAAUAAGGACCGGCUAACUACGUGCCAGCAGCCGCGGUAAUACGUAUGGUCCAAGCGUUAAUCGGAAUUACUGGGCGUAAAGAGUGCGUAGGCGGUUGUGCAAGACCGAUGUGAAAUCCCCGAGCUUAACUUGGGAAUUGCAUUGGUGACUGCACGGCUAGAGUGUGUGAGAGGGGUGUAGAAUUCCACGUGUAGCAGUGAAAUGCGUAGAGAUGUGGAGGAAUACCGAUGGCGAAGGCAGCCCCCUAGGAUAACACUGACGCUCAUGCACGAAAGCGUGGGGAGCAAACAGG